rnacentral:rRNA from 1 species
GGCGAGCGGCGGACGGGUGAGUAAUGCCUAGGAAUCUGCCUGGUAGUGGGGGAUAACUCGGGGAAACUCGAGCUAAUACCGCAUACGUCCUACGGGAGAAAGCGGGGGAUCUUCGGACCUCGCGCUACCAGAUGAGCCUAGGUCGGAUUAGCUAGUUGGUGAGGUAAAGGCUCACCAAGGCGACGAUCCGUAGCUGGUCUGAGAGGACGAUCAGCCACACUGGAACUGAGACACGGUCCAGACUCCUACGGGAGGCAGCAGUGGGGAAUAUUGGACAAUGGGCGAAAGCCUGAUCCAGCCAUGCCGCGUGUGUGAAGAAGGUCUUCGGAUUGUAAAGCACUUUAAGUUGGGAGGAAGGGCAGUAAGCUAAUACCUUGCUGUUUUGACGUUACCGACAGAAUAAGCACCGGCUAACUUCGUGCCAGCAGCCGCGGUAAUACGAAGGGUGCAAGCGUUAAUCGGAAUUACUGGGCGUAAAGCGCGCGUAGGUGGUUUGAUAAGUUGGAUGUGAAAGCCCCGGGCUCAACCUGGGAAUUGCAUCCAAAACUGUCUGGCUAGAGUAUGGCAGAGGGUGGUGGAAUUUCCUGUGUAGCGGUGAAAUGCGUAGAUAUAGGAAGGAACACCAGUGGCGAAGGCGACCACCUGGGCUAAUACUGACACUGAGGUGCGAAAGCGUGCGGAGCAAACAGGAUUAGAUACCCUGGUAGUCCACGCCGUAAACGAUGUCGACUAGCCGUUGGGAUCCUUGAGAUCUUAGUGGCGCAGCUAACGCAUUAAGUCGACCGCCUGGGGAGUACGGC